CCUANGGGCGGCAGCAGUGGGGAAUUGUUCGCAAUGGGCGAAAGCCUGACGACGCAACGCCGCGUGGGGGAUGAAGGUCUUCGGAUCGUAAACCCCUGUCGAGCGGGACGAAUGGCCCGCGAUUGAAUAGAUCGUGGGAGUGACGGUACCGCUAAAGGAAGCCACGGCUAACUCUGUGCCAGCAGCCGCGGUAAUACAGAGGUGGCAAGCGUUGUUCGGAAUUACUGGGCGUAAAGGGCGCGUAGGCGGCUUCCUCAGUCGGACGUGAAAUCCCCAGGCUUAACCUGGGAACGGCGUCCGAUACUGGGAGGCUUGAGUUCGGGAGAGGGAUGUAGAAUUCCAGGUGUAGCGGUGAAAUGCGUAGAUAUCUGGAGGAAUACCGGUGGCGAAGGCGGCAUCCUGGACCGAAACUGACGCUGAGGCGCGAAAGCUAGGGUAGCAAACGGGAUUAGAUACCCCANUAGUC
rnacentral:rRNA from 1 species